rnacentral:rRNA from 1 species
AUUGAACGCUGGCGGCAUGCCUUACACAUGCAAGUCGAACGGUAGCAUGGAGAGCUUGCUCUCUGAUGGCGAGUGGCGAACGGGUGAGUAAAGCAUCGGAACGUACCGUGUAGUGGGGGAUAACGUAGCGAAAGUUACGCUAAUACCGCAUACGCACUGAGGUGGAAAUCAGGGGAUCGUAAGACCUUGCGCCAUACGAGCGGCCGGUGUCAGAUUAGCUAGUUGGUAGGGUAAAGGCCUACCAAGGCGACGAUCUGUAGCGGGUCUGAGAGGAUGAUCCGCCACACUGGGACUGAGACACGGCCCAGACUCCUACGGGAGGCAGCAGUGGGGAAUUUUGGACAAUGGGGGCAACCCUGAUCCAGCCAUGCCGCGUGAGUGAAGAAGGCCUUCGGGUUGUAAAGCUCUUUCGGCCGGGAAGAAAUCGCACAGGCUAAUACCCUGUGUGGAUGACGGUACCGGCAUAAGAAGCACCGGCUAACUACGUGCCAGCCGCCGCAGUAA